UAAAAGUGUAUUUCAUUGAUGCUGCAGUUAAAACGCUCGUAGUUGGAUUGAAAGAGAUAUUAUUAUUAGAUAGUUUGGUCAUAGCAGAUGCUAUUGUACUACUAUCAGUCUCUUUUUUAGUAUUAGAGUAUCUAUAAUGUACUUAAUUGUAUGUUAUAACUAGCAAUAGUCUUAGGAGACCUAAUAGAUUUACUUUGAGUAAAAUAGAGUGUUUAAAGCAACCUGUAAUUGGGGUACUGUAUAUUUCAGCAUGGGAUAAUAGAAUAUGACCUGUAUUAAUUAUGGUUUUAGUAAUAUAAGUAAUGAUUAAUAGGGAUAGUCGGGGGUAAUUGUAUUUAGUUGUUAGAGGUGAAAUUCAGUGAUCUACUAAAGACAUACCAAAGCGAAGGCAGUUGUUAGACCAAGGAUAUUUUCAUUAA
rnacentral:rRNA from 1 species